GCUAUGAAGCUAUGAAGCUAUGAAGCUAUGAAGCUAUGAAGCUAUGAAGCUAUGAAGCUAUGAAGCUAUGAAGCUAUGAAGCUAUGAAGCUAUGAAGCUAUGAAGCUAUGAAGCUAUGAAGCUAUGAAGCUCUCCAUCCAAGAUUCGUAAUGAGAAAACGGCUAUCGUUUAGCUAAUGCUACAGCGAAGUGAACCGAGGUCCCAGCGCAGCUGCAGAGAUCGGACGGGCGCUCUUUUCGGCGCAACACCAGUGAAAUCCGGCCAUAUGUUCACAGCAAAUUACAGCCAGCUGAUUAAAGUAAUAGACCGCUGAAUUUGUGUCCUCGUUUUGUAGUGUGUGCCAUGCCAAUUGUUUAUGCCCAUAUUUGAGGUUCAGACCUGUGGGAAAUUUGAAUGGGCUUUUCAAAAACUGACCUUUACCAUUCUGUGGCAAAUAAAUAUGUUCCGAAUCCUGUACGU